rnacentral:rRNA from 1 species
CACGUAGGGGCCAAGCGUUGUCCGGAUUUAUUGGGCGUAAAGAGCUCGUAGGCGGCUCGGUAAGUCAGGUGUGAAACCUCCAGGCUCAACCUGGAGACGCCACCUGAUACUGCUGUGGCUAGAGUCCGGUAGGGGAGCGUGGAAUUCCUGGUGUAGCGGUGAAAUGCGCAGAUAUCAGGAGGAACACCGGUGGCGAAGGCGGAUCUCUGGGCCUGUUCUGACGCUGAGGCGCGAAAGCUAGGGGAGCGAACAGG